UACGGAGGAUGCAAGCGUUAUCCGGAUUUAUUGGGUUUAAAGGGUGCGUAGGCGGAUAUGUAAGUCAGCGGUGAAACUCACAGGCUCAACCUGUGCCGUGCCGUUUAAACUGUGUAUCUGGAAUGCGGAUGCUGUGGGAGGAAUGUGUAGUGUAGCGGUGAAAUGCAUAGAUAUUACACAGAACACCGAUUGCGAAGGCAUCUCACAAAGCCGUUAUUGACGCUGAGGCACGAAAGUGUGGGGAUCAAACAGGA
rnacentral:rRNA from 1 species